AGAGUUUGAUCAUGGCUCAGAACGAACGCUGGCGGCAGGCCUAACACAUGCAAGUCGAGCGGGGGAGCAAUCCCUAGCGGCGGACGGGUGAGUAACGCGUGGGAACGUACCCUUUGCUUCGGAAUAGCCCCGGGAAACUGGGAGUAAUACCGGAUGUGCCCUACGGGGGAAAGAAUUUCGGCAAAGGAUCGGCCCGCGUUGGAUUAGGUAGUUGGUGGGGUAAUGGCCUACCAAGCCGACGAUCCAUAGCUGGUUUGAGAGGAUGAUCAGCCACACUGGGACUGAGACACGGCCCAGACUCCUACGGGAGGCAGCAGUGGGAAUCUUAGACAAUGGGCGCAAGCCUGAUCUAGCCAUGCCGCGUGAGCGAUGAAGGCCUUAGGGUUGUAAAGCUCUUUCGUGGGGGAAGAUAAUGACGGUACCCCAAGAAGAAGCCCCGGCUAACUCCGUG
rnacentral:rRNA from 1 species